GAGGACACGCUGGCGGCGUGCUUAACACAUGCAAGUCGAACGGACGAGUGAGAUAAGUUUACUUAACUCACAAGUUAGUGGCGGACGGGUGAGUAACACGUGGAUAAUCUACCUGCAACACCGGGAUAACGCUGUGAAAACGGUGCUAAUACCGGAUACGUUCCCUUGUGCGCAUGUAUGAGGGAAGAAAGCUCAGGCGGUUGCAGAUGAGUCCGCGGCUGAUUAGCUAGUUGGUGAGGUAAAGGCUCACCAAGGCGAUGAUCAGUAGCCGGCCUGAGAGGGUGAACGGCCACACUGGGACUGAGACACGGCCCAGACUCCUACGGGAGGCAGCAGUGGGGAAUCUUCCGCAAUGGGCGCAAGCCUGACGGAGCAACGCCGCGUGGGUGAAGAAGGCCUUCGGGUUGUAAAGCCCUGUCUUAUGGGAAGAAGUCAGUGACGGUACCAUAGGAGGAAGCCACGGCUAACUACGUG
rnacentral:rRNA from 1 species